rnacentral:lncRNA from 1 species
AAACGUCUAGCUCGAGUUUAUGAAAAGUCUUGGCCCCCGAAAAAAAAUAUAUUAAAAAAAAAAAAAAAUGAAGAAAAGGGGGCUGGCAAAGUUGUUUAGAGCUAAGAUUUGUUUAGAAGUUGAGAAAAUCCUUUAUAGAUUUCAAAGAAAAAGGGUUUUAUGUGCAAAGUAUUCUUGGGAUCUUUUGGUGAGAGAUGGGAGUUGGAUUUGACAUUGGGAAGUGAUUGUGUAACUAGUAUGUUUGAGAAAAGGGUAGAACAAUGGAGAUUGAGCAUUGUAUGCAUGAGUUGGUCACUUUCUUAGAUAUAUUAUGUGCAAUGUCAAGGCUACUUGUUUUGAGAGUAAACCACUUAAAAAGAUCAUGGAUUUUGAACCUCUUGACCCACUUUUAAUAAAAGCCUUCCUUUACUCAACCAAAUGAUUUGGACCAAUUGACCAUUUGAUCAUGGAUUUUGAACCUCUUGACCCACUUUUAA